GAUGAACGCUGGCGGCGUGCCUAAUACAUGCAAGUCGAGCGAACACUUGAGGAGAUUGCACCACUGUGCUUCUCGGUGGUAGGCUGUGUAAUAAGUGGCUAACCUAUCUAUAAGACUUGGAUAACCUCCGCAAACCGGAGCUAAUACAGGUUAAUAUAUUUAAUCGCAUGGCUUAAUACUUAACACCGCAUUUGCUGUGACUUAUAGAUGGUUCCGCGUCGCAUUAGCUAGUUGGUAAGGUAACGGCUUACCAAGGCAGCGAUGCGUAGCCGACCUGAGAGGGUGAUCGGCCACACUGGAACUGAGACACGGUCCAGACUCCUACGGGAGGCAGCAGUAGGGAAUCUUCCACAAUGGGCGAAAGCCUGACGGAGCAACGCCGCGUGAGUGAUGAAGGUCUUCGGAUCGUAAAACUCUGUUAUUAGGGAAGAACGAAUGUGUAAGUAACUAUGCACGUCUUGACGGUACCUAAUCAGAAAGCCACGGCUAACUACGUG
rnacentral:rRNA from 1 species